GGGUAGGGGAGACUGGAAUUCCCGGUGUAACGGUGGAAUGUGUAGAUAUCGGGAAGAACACCAAUGGCGAAGGCAGGUCUCUGGGCCGUUACUGACGCUGAGGAGCGAAAGCGUGGGGAGCGAACAGGAUUAGAUACCCUGGUAGUCCACGCCGUAAACGGUGGAUGCUGGAUGUGGGGCCCUUUCCACGGGUCCUGUGUCGGAGCCAACGCGUUAAGCAUCCCGCCUGGGGAGUACGGCCGCAAGGCUAAAACUCAAAGAAAUUGACGGGGGCCCGCACAAGCGGCGGAGCAUGCGGAUUAAUUCGAUGCAACGCGAAGAACCUUACCUGGGCUUGACAUGUGCCGGAUCGCCCCGGAAACGGGGUUUCCCUUCGGGGCCGGUUCACAGGUGGUGCAUGGUCGUCGUCAGCUCGUGUCGUGAGAUGUUGGGUUAAGUCCCGCAACGAGCGCAACCCUCGCCGCAUGUUGCCAGCGGGUUAUGCCGGGAACUCAUGUGGGACCGCCGGGGUCAACUCGGAGGAAGGUGGGGAUGACGUCAGAUCAUCAUGCCCCUUACGUCCAGGGCUUCACGCAUGCUACAAUGGCCGGUACAACGCGAUGCGACACGGUGACGUGGGGCGGAUCGCUGAAAACCGGUCUCAGUUCGGAUCGCAGUCUGCAACUCGACUGCGUGAAGGCGGAGUCGCUAGUAAUCGCGGAUCAGCAACGCCGCGGUGAA
rnacentral:rRNA from 1 species